rnacentral:rRNA from 1 species
AUUGAACGCUGGCGGCAUGCCUAACACAUGCAAGUCGAACGAGUGGCGGACGGGUGAGUAAUGUCUGGGAAACUGCCUGAUGUAGGGGGAUAACUACUGGAAACGGUAGCUAAUACCGCAUACCAUCGGAUGUGCCCAGAUGGGAUUAGCUAGUCGGUGGGGUAAAGGCUCACCUAGGCGACGCUCCCUAGCUGGACUGAGAGGAUGACCAGCCAAACUGGAACUGAGACACGGUCCAGACUCCUACGGGAGGCAGCAGUGGGGAAGCUUGCACAAUGGGCGAAAGCCUGAUGCAGCAACGCCGCGUGUAUGAAGAAGGCCUUCGGGUUGUAAAGUACUGUCAGCGGGGAGGCGUUACCCACAGAAGAAGCACCGGCUAACUCCGUGCCAGCAGCCGCGGUAAUUC